rnacentral:pre_miRNA from 2 species
GGCUCGUCCCUACCCUUGCAGUGCAGCAUGAAAAAGAACUGCGAGAGAAGGGAGAAGCUCA